UACGAGGGGAGCAAGCGUUGUUCGGAUUUACUGGGCGUAAAGGGCGCGUAGGCGGUCGUGACAAGUCACUUGUGAAAUCUCCGGGCUUAACCCGGAACGGUCAGGUGAUACUGUUUUGCUAGAGUGCGGAAGGGGCAAUCGGAAUUCUCGGUGUAGCGGUGAAAUGCGUAGAUAUCGAGAGGAACACCAGAGGUGAAGACGGGUUGCUGGGCCGACACUGACGCUGACAGCGCGAAAGCCAGGGGAGCAAACGGG
rnacentral:rRNA from 1 species